rnacentral:rRNA from 1 species
UACGGGGGGUGCGAGCGUUGUCCGGAAUCAUUGGGCGUAAAGAGCGUGUAGGCGGUUCGGUAAGUCGGCUGUGAAAGUCCAGGGCUCAACCCUGGGAUGCCGGUCGAUACUGCCGGACUAGAGUUCGGAAGAGGCGAGUGGAAUUCCCGGUGUAGCGGUGAAAUGCGCAGAUAUCGGGAGGAACACCUAUGGCGAAGGCAGCUCGCUGGGACGUUACUGACGCUGAGACGCGAAAGCGUGGGGAGCAAACAGG